CCAAGCACCUGCAAUCCUGCCUGCAUUAUAAUACAUGCAACUAUACAUCCACACACGCAUAUAUAUACCUUUUUUAUUUUUUUUAAACAUCCAUAUAUGCAUACAUUAUAUACAAACACACUCAAAACAUAUAUAUAAUAUACUUGUUCAAUCCAUUAAGCCCUCUCUCACCCUCUCCAACAUUCCAACAAAAAUGGCAACAUGUAGCAAAGAAAAGGCAGUGUUAGUAACAGUGUAUGUGGAGCGUCCAAGAAAGAAGAAGGUGCCAACAAAUCAUCAUCAUCAUCACCAUCACCACCAUCAUCAUUAUCUUCAUCACACCACCAAAAGAGAGGUAACCCAAGUCAACCAUGGUGCUCCUGGACCUGGUAAAGGUUAUGAUAGGAGAGCCCAGCUGCUUCAGUACUCUAAACAUCUACGGGAGUCUUCUCGAUCAGCAACAAUCACACCCUUACCAUUAAAGCCAACUUCAUCCAGCAACCACAACCAGCAACCUUCAACCCAAAUUGUCGCUUUUCAGAGAAAGCGAAAACAAGAUAGAGCACCAGCUUGCCUUGGCAUUUGGAAAAUCCUGCUUCCAAACUUCUUCAGAUCUUUGAUAAGUUCCAAAGCUAGGAAAGAAAGAAAGAAAGAAGAAGAAACACCGUGGAUCAAAAACCAAUACGCUUAAAGAUGUCAUGAAAGAUUUAGCGGGGCAAAAGAAGCAGGGAUUUAUUUCAAAACUGUCUUCAACAUUACAAAAGAAUAGGUGAAGCAUCAUUUAUAUGAAUACAAAUCUACAGGGUGUAUUAUGCAACUAAUAGAAUGGAAGUAAAAAAAAAAAAAAAAUGUCAGAAUCGAAUUUUUCAUUAUGUUUAUAGAUUAUGUGAUCCAUAAUAUACAAUAAAACCACUUCUCUUUCUUUU